rnacentral:rRNA from 1 species
UACGUAGGUGGCAAGCGUUGUCCGGAAUUACUGGGCGUAAAGCGUGCGCAGGCGGUUAUGCAAGACAGAUGUGAAAUCCCCGGGCUCAACCUGGGAACUGCAUUUGUGACUGCAUGGCUAGAGUGCGGCAGAGGGGGAUGGAAUUCCGCGUGUAGCAGUGAAAUGCGUAGAUAUGCGGAGGAACACCGAUGGCGAAGGCAAUCCCCUGGGCCUGCACUGACGCUCAUGCACGAAAGCGUGGGGAGCAAACAGG